UUGCUAAUGUGUUGAAAGGAAAUGUUUGCAGCUUGUUUGGAAUAACUGGUGUGACUGAUAAAUGCCUGGAGGAACUCUCAAAGUCCUGUUCUGACAAAAUUACAACUCUUGAUGUGAAUGGCUGUAUAGGAAUCAAGAGACGGAGCCGCGAAGAAUUGCUUCGGUUGUUUCCUAACUUGAAAUGCUUUAAGGUGCAUAGUUGAUAGUUGAUGUGCCCUUUAUGGUAUUCCACCAAAUGAAAAUUUUUAUUCUGUUUAAAACAUUUUACAAGCAUAUAACUGAAAAAGUUGUUUAUCUCAUUCCAAGCAAUUCUUUCAGCAUUUUCUGUGUUGCUUUUUUCUUUUCUUUUUCUUUUAACAAAUUUGUAGCAAAACAAGCGAGCCUCUGUAUUUUGACUUCAAAUAGUGUACUUGAUUUUUUUGAAGAUAUCUGGAUUGUGUUAAGGUUCACCUUGAUUUAUUUGGUCUAAAUUGAGUUGCAAAUCAAUACUUAAUGUUUGAUAAUAACGAGGAUCAUUUCCCUAGCUAAAAAUCUUCCAACGUGCAUGUAUCUAACAUCCUGAUGCUAUUUCCUUAUUUUUCUUAUUUUCUAGUAUAUAUAAACAUAAUUCAAUAUUUCACAUGUAGUAAGAGGAUUUUUCUAGGGCACUAAAAGAAGUUAUUCCUUUCUUGAUUGCACAUGUGAGGAUUUUUGUCAUUAUUCAACUAGGUAAAAGCAUUUCCACUUGCAGAGUAAAUGCUGAUUCUACAAUUUUGGCUAUGAGGAACUUGAAUUAGUCACAAAAAUUUUAUUUCAAACAGGGUGUUAAAAUAGAUUAGAUAUUAGAUAUAGAAAGAUUUCUAGGAUUUUUGUUUUCAGUUAUUUUCUCUUUUUGGAGAAGCCCUAUUUGUCAAGAAGAGUUGAUGUCAAUUUCAUAGCACUUGUGGGAGAGCCUAACAUAACCUAAACCAGCUCUUUCAGUCCUAUUUCACAUGUCCACCAAAUCUUCUUUCUCCGUUGCUGUGUCUUAAUCUUAAUAUUCUUUUUUCCACACAACGAAGAUAGUAAAAUAAAUUCAAACUUUACAUGCUUGUGUAACUAUUGGAUUAUUUCCAGUUUCUAGUAAAAAGUCUUCUAUUAAAAUAUCUUGUGUUAGAUGCAUUAACAUAGUUCAACGAUUAGAUUUGAAUAAUGAGGAAGUACAUUUACAAUGAUCUAAAUUUAUCAAAUUCAAUUAUCUUGGUGCAUAAUACACCAAAUUCAACUUGAUGCACCAUAUCGUUGCUUGCCUCUAUUCCAAUCUUCAUUUGAUCCUUUUUUUUUUUUAAUUUUGAGUAUGAUCGCUUAAUUAAUCCAUGUAACUGAUAGUAGCUAAUGAUACAUAAUGUGGUAAACUUAGAAAAUUGUUAAAGCAAAUAGCAGCUAAAACAAAUAGCUGAAGGUAAAAUCAAACACAUUUAGAGUGAUUACUUAGUUUAAAGUUCUUAAUAAGUUGAACACCACCAUUGCCACAUUUAGCAUACAAGCUUACCUUCCCUACAAACUUAAUCCCUUUUUUCUGGCACAAAUUUACUGACAGCAAUAUGUUAAACUAGUAACAAUAAGGCUUAGGGGUGACCUAAGAAACACAGACUACCCAAAUU